rnacentral:lncRNA from 1 species
UGGAGUUAAUCAUAUUUAUUUGAUGGUUGGAUUUCUGAUAAUUCUUGAUAAUGAACUAUUUGAGAAUCAUAUCUACUUUUAAGUCUUUAAUUCUUAGUGAAAAAUUGAUUUUUCAUUGAAGUUUUUCACUAACAAUAAAGCAAGCUUAGGUCUAUGGUUAGACCUUAAACACAACAGACUUAAACAAAGUAGAAACAGAUGUUGUACCAUCGAUCAAACUAAAAAGGAUCAUCUAAAUCAGAUAGCAUCGAGUAGGCAUAGCAAGCUAAUCACCACCAUGGUUGAUGGUGUUAGCUUCCUCAGUGGGAACUUUUAACAUCUCGAUUUGAUAUUGUAAGUCUGCGAUCAGAACUCCUUGGUUUUUAAUACUUGAUUCCAGCACUUUAAUCCUUGAUCUUGCCUCAUCGAUCUCUUUAAACAGGUGAGUAGUUAUCUCAGAUUGACUUACUUGCUUCUUCCCUGUGAUGAUAUCCAUCACCUUUUUCCAAUCUGGAUCAUAAGAAUCCAUUUUGACGAUAGUAGGAAUGGGUGAG